GACGAACGCUGGCGGCGUGCUUAACACAUGCAAGUCGAACGGAAAGGCCCUGCUUUUGUGGGGUGCUCGAGUGGCGAACGGGUGAGUAACACGUGAGUAACCUGCCCUUGACUUUGGGAUAACUUCAGGAAACUGGGGCUAAUACCGGCUAGGAGCUCCUGCUGCAUGGUGGGGGUUGGAAAGUUUCGGUGGUUGGGGAUGGACUCGCGGCUUAUCAGCUUGUUGGUGGGGUAGUGGCUUACCAAGGCUUUGACGGGUAGCCGGCCUGAGAGGGUGACCGGCCACAUUGGGACUGAGAUACGGCCCAGACUCCUACGGGAGGCAGCAGUGGAGAAGAUUGCACAAUGGGCGGAAGCCUGAUGCAGCAACGCCGCGUGCGGGAUGACGGCCUUCGGGUUGUAAACCGCUUUCGCCUGUGACGAAGCGUGAGUGACGGUAAUGGGUAAAGAAGCACCGGCUAACUACGUG
rnacentral:rRNA from 1 species